UACGAGGGGGGGCAAGCGUUGUUCGGAAUUAUUGGGCGUAAAGGGUGCGUAGGCGGUUUGGUAAGUCUUAUGUGAAAUCUACAGGCUCAACUUGUAGUCUGCAUGAGAAACUGCCGGGCUUGAGUAUGGGAGAGGUGAGUGGAAUUCCUGGUGUAGCGGUGAAAUGCGUAGAUAUCAGGAGGAACACCUGUGGCGAAAGCGGCUCACUGGACCAUAACUGACGCUGAUGCACGAAAGCUAGGGGGAGCAAACAGG
rnacentral:rRNA from 1 species